AAUGAACGCUGGCGGCGUGCCUAACACAUGCAAGUCGAGCGCGAAAGUGGCUUCGGUCACGAGUAGAGCGGCGCACGGGUGAGUAACACGUGGACAACCUGCCUGAAUGUGGGGAACAACUCGGGGAAACUUGAGCUAAUUCCGCAUAAGUCCGAGCCAUUAUGGUGGCUUGGGGAAAGACCGCCUCUCCUUGGAAGCGGUUGCAUUCAGAGGGGUCCGCGGCUGAUUAGCUAGUUGGUGGGGUAAUGGCCUACCAAGGCAACGAUCAGUAGCCGGCCUGAGAGGGUGAUCGGCCACACUGGAACUGAGACACGGUCCAG
rnacentral:rRNA from 1 species